AUUGAACGCUGGCGGCAUGCCUUACACAUGCAAGUCGAACGGCAGCACGGGUGCUUGCACCUGGUGGCGAGUGGCGAACGGGUGAGUAAUACAUCGGAACAUGUCCUGUAGUGGGGGAUAGCCCGGCGAAAGCCGGAUUAAUACCGCAUACGAUCUACGGAUGAAAGCGGGGGACCUUCGGGCCUCGCGCUAUAGGGUUGGCCGAUAUCGGAUUAGCUAGUUGGUGAGGUAACGGCUCACCAAGGCGACGAUCCGUAGCUGGUUUGAGAGGACGACCAGCCACACUGGGACUGAGACACGGCCCAG
rnacentral:rRNA from 1 species